rnacentral:rRNA from 1 species
CGGACGGGUGAGUAACGCGUGGGUAACCUGCCUUAUACUGGGGGAUAACAGCCAGAAAUGACUGCUAAUACCGCAUAAGCGCACAGAACCGCAUGGUUCCGUGUGAAAAACUCCGGUGGUAUAAGAUGGACCCGCGUUGGAUUAGCUAGUUGGCAGGGCAGCGGCCUACCAAGGCGACGAUCGGUAGCCGGACUGAGAGGUUGAACGGCCACAUUGGGACUGAGACACGGCCCAG